UUUUCUCUCAUACACUCAGCUCUAUCACUCUCAUCCUCUCCACCGGUACUUCCAUACCACCAUUUCCGCCAUCAUUUUUCCAGCAAGAUCAUCAGAAAAUCUUUAAGAAUCUCUAAGCACCUUCACAUCUUUUAUUUGAGGUUCUAGAUAAUCUCCUUGGAGCUUGGAGAAUUAGGCUUCUGGCGGGUUGCAAGAUCUAGGUCAGUGCCCUUUCACUUUGGAUGAUGCGUUAUUCCCUGCUACCCAUUGGGGGAAGAGGUUCCUUGGUUGUGUGUGGGUGAGGCUGCUACCCAUGGGGCCAAAAGACCACAUGCAAAAGAGGUCCUAUUUGAUGCGCUCCAUGCUACCUAUACGGGGAGAGAAAAACCUUGAGGGUAUGGGUGAGGCUACUGCCAAUGGGGCCAAGAGACUGCAUACUAGAGAGGACAAUAUCAUGCCAGUUGUGAAUGGGUGGAUCCCCUAACUGAUUUAUGUGGUAGUGUGGUAUAUUUAUGAUAGGUUACCGUAUGUUAGAUUUUAUGGCUUUGGAAAUUAUAUUAUUGGUGCUCAUAGAUUAUAGUAUAUAGU